GACGAACGCUGGCGGCGUGCUUAACACAUGCAAGUCGAACGGAAAGGCCCUGCUUUUGUUGGUUGCUCGAUUGGCGAACGGGUGAGUAACACGUGAGUAACCUGCCCUUGACUUUGGGAUAACUUCAGGAAACUGGGGCUAAUACCGGAUAGGAGCUCCUGCUGCAUGGUGGGGGUUGGAAAGUUUCGGCGGUUGGGGAUGGACUCGCGGCUUAUCAGCUUGUUGGUGGGGUAGUGGCUUACCAAGGCUUUGACGGGUAGCCGGCCUGAGAGGGUGACCGGCGACAUUGGGACUGAGAUACGGCCCAGACUCCUACGGGAGGCAGCAGUGGGGAAUAUUGCACAAUGAGCGGAAGCCUGAUGCAGCAACGCCGCGUGCGGGAUGACGGCCUUCGGGUUGUAAACCGCUUUCGCCUGUGACGAAGAGUGAGUGACGGUAAUGGGUAAAGAAGCACCGGCUAACUACGUG
rnacentral:rRNA from 1 species